GACGAACGCUGGCGGCGUGCUUAACACAUGCAAGUCGUACGGUAAGGCCCUUUCGGGGGUACACGAGUGGCGAACGGGUGCGUAACACGUGCGUAACCUGCCCACAACUUUGGGAUAACGCUAGGAAACUGGUGCUAAUACUGGAUAUGUUCUCCUGCUGCAUGGUGGGGGUUGGAAAGUUCCGGCGGUUGUGGAUGGACUCGCGGCCUAUCAGCUUGUUGGUGGGGUAGUGGCCUACCAAGGCGGCGACGGGUAGCCGGCCUGAGAGGGUGACCGGCCACAUUGGGACUGAGAGACGGACCAGACUCCUACGGGAGGCAACAGUGGGGAAUAUUGCACAAUGGGCGCAAGCCGGAUGCAGCAGCGCCGCGUGCGGGAUGACGGCCUGCGGGUUGUAAACCGCUUUCAGCAGGGACGAAGCUUUUUGUGACGGUACCUGCAGAAGAAGCACCGGCUAACUACGUG
rnacentral:rRNA from 1 species